UACGUAGGGGGCUAGCGUUGUCCGGAUUUAUUGGGCGUAAAGAGCGUGUAGGCGGCCAUACAGGUCAGCUGUGAAAACUCGAGGCUCAACCUCGAGACGUCGGUUGAAACCGUUUGGCUAGAGUCCGGAAGAGGAGAGUGGAAUUCCCGGUGUAGCGGUGAAAUGCGCAGAUAUCGGGAAGAACACCCGUGGCGAAGGCGGCUCUCUGGGACGGUACUGACGCUGAGACGCGAAAGCGUGGGGAGCGAACAGG
rnacentral:rRNA from 1 species